UACGGAAGGCAGCAGUGGGGAAUAUUGCACAAUGGGCGCAAGCCUGAUGCAGCCAUGCCGCGUGUAUGAAGAAGGCCUUCGGGUUGUAAAGUACUUUCAGCGGGGAGGAAGGCGGUGAAGUUAAUAGCUUCACCGAUUGACGUUACCCGCAGAAGAAGCACCGGCUAACUCCGUGCCAGCAGCCGCGGUAAUACGGAGGGUGCAAGCGUUAAUCGGAAUUACUGGGCGUAAAGCGCACGCAGGCGGUCUGUCAAGUCGGAUGUGAAAUCCCCGGGCUUAACCUGGGAACUGCAUUCGAAACUGGCAGGCUAGAGUCUUGUAGAGGGGGUAGAAUUCCAGGUGUAGCGGUGAAAUGCGUAGAGAUCUGGAGGAAUACCGGUGGCGAAGGCGGCCCCUGGGACAAAGACUGACGCUCAGGGUGCGAAAGCGUGGGGAGCAAACAGGGAUUAGAUACC
rnacentral:rRNA from 1 species